rnacentral:rRNA from 1 species
UACGGGAGGCAGCAGUGGGGGAUAUUGCACAAUGGGGGAAACCCUGAUGCAGCGACGCCGCGUGAGUGAAGAAGUUAUUCGUAAUGUAAAGCUCUAUCAGCAGGGAAGAAGCAGACGGUACCUGACUAAGAAGCACCGGCUAAAUACGUGCCAGCAGCCGCGGUAAU